rnacentral:lncRNA from 1 species
AGUCAUGCUUUGAGCCAGGGUGAUGCAAAAGUACAUCCAGGCUCAAAAGCAACCUUAAGGACAAAGCCUUUUCUGAGAUUUAGGCAGCUAAGAGUUGUUCCCACCAAAAACAAUACAAGCUUCCUACCUCUCCUCACAGAGUAACAUGGCUUCAGUGCUCAAGCAGAGUUCCUCAUAACAGCAGACUGGCUGACAUGUUCCAGCCAGAAUAAAGCUACUGUCCAGAGCUGCUAAGCUCAGCCAUUUCCUCCAGCUGCCCUUAUAUCCCAUCACCCUCCAUCAGAGCCUGCAACCUUUCCAACCAAGCAGGUGCCGUCCUUUCUGAAGCCAACUAAUUGGUAACUUCUGGAAGAGUAGCUCCUGGAGGUCACCAGGUGUGCCUAAUUAGCACACCAAGGGAAGCCAAAAAAUCCUCCCCAGUUUCAAGGCCUAUAGAUAGCAUUUUUCACAGCCAAGAUGGCUCCCUCAUUGCCCAAGCCUUCUUUCUCUCCUCUCCACUCUUUUUGUAAUUCUGAAGUGAAUAAGACAUCCAAAAUAUAUAAACAGGAAAGACUUGCUAAAUGCCAUGGCUCCCAGUGUGGUUUUUGUACUCCUGGAAUGGUGAUGUCUGUCUACACUUUAUUAUGGGUCUAAAACAGACAGCAUGUUUUGUCAAAGCUUUCUUAUAUUAA